UACGAAGGGGCGAGCGUGUUCGGAUUUACUGGGCGUAAAGGGCGCGCAGGCGGCUCAUUUUGUCAGGCGUGAAAGCCCCGGGCUUAACCUGGGACUGCGUUUGAUACGGAUGGGCUAGAGUUCGGGAGAGGAGCGUGGAAUUCCCAGUGUAGAGGUGAAAUUCGUAGAUAUUGGGAAGAACACCGGUGGCGAAGGCGGCGCUCUGGACCGAGACUGACGCUGAGGCGGCGAAAGCGUGGGGAGCAACAGG
rnacentral:rRNA from 1 species